UGCCAGCCGCCGCGGUAACACCUGCGCCCUGAGUGGCAAUCGCGAUUAUUGGGCCUAAAGCGUUCGUAGCCGGAUCAAUCAGUCUUGGGUGAAAUCGCUGCGCUUAACAAAGCGACGUGCUUGAGAUACUGUUGGUCUAGGGACCGGGAGGCGUGUGAGGUAUCCCCAAGGGAGCGGUAAAAUGCGAUAAUCUUGGGAGGACCACCUGUGGCGAAGGCGGUCUACCAGAACACGUCCGACGCUGAGACGCGAAAGCGUGGGGAGCAAACAGGAUUAGAUA
rnacentral:rRNA from 1 species